UGCGGGCCGGGAUGGCGCUGCCCACGCCGCGGUACGGGCACCUGGGCCCGCGGGGGCCCUUCGGGGACGUGUACGAGCCGGCCGAGGACACCUUCCUGCUGCUCGAUGCGCUGGAGCGGGACGCGGGCAGGCUGCGGGAGGCUGGAGUGGACAUCUGUCUUGAAAUAGGAUCUGGAUCGGGUGUGGUUUCAGCAUUUCUGGCUUCUUCUAUCCUUGGCCCCAGUGCACUGUACAUAUGCACAGAUAUCAACCCCAUGGCAGCUUACUGUACCCAGGAGACAGCUCUGCUUAACAAUGUUCACCUGCAGCCUGUCAUUACUGACUUGGUCAAAGGAUUGUCCCCAAGAUUAAAUGGGAAGGUUGAUCUACUGCUGUUUAACCCACCAUAUGUGGUAACACCUUCUGAAGAGGUGAAAAGCCAUGGAAUAGAGGCCUCCUGGGCUGGGGGCAAACAGGGCAGAGAAGUAAUGGAUAGAGUUUUCCCAUUAGUACCAGACCUGCUUUCACCAGGAGGACUGUUCUACUUGGUCACAAUUAAGGAAAAUAAUCCAGAUGAAAUUCUGGAAACAAUGAAGAAAAGUGGCUUAAAAGGCACACAAGUACUUUCCAGGCAAGCAGGACAAGAGAUGCUGACAAUCCUCAGAUUUAAGAAGUCUUGAUAACUUCUCUUCACCUGCCAGGAUCAGCAUUCUCAGCAUGGAUCACUUUGGCCAUGAUUAAGGACCAGAGCCUUCCACAUCCCUCUGACCUUCAGAGAAGAAGAAGGAGCCUGGUUAAAGUAUACAGAUGCUCAGAGUUCACCACAAAAGCAUUUGGAGGAAGUUUGGAUCUGUGCACAGAUGGAAAUAUAGUGGCACUUUAUACAAUGCAAAAUGUGAAGGCAGAGUUGUUUCACUUGCUCUCACAUACCUGUCAAAUAUUUUGCUGCUGUACUACUCAGGGUACUGAACUUCUCCUCUCUUCAAACAUAUGAAGAUGUUUCAGCAGCAGACAAGGAGGAUUCUCCAAUUCUUCAAUCCCUUGUAACGAGCACAGCAGUUCUGCAACUCAUUGAACACCUUCCCUGAGCUUCAGAGAAGGCUUCUCAAGGAACGGUGGAAAAAAUUAUUUUAGAGAUUGUACGUAUUUAUAUUGCCAUUGGGAUUUUUUGAGGAGUGCAAUUUUGCAAAUAGAAAUUGAAUUUUGGUCAUUUUCACUUUUUUUCACCCCCUAGUUUAAGGAAACACUAAUGUAGUUUUUCUGUGUACUGGAGGAUUUUCUGGGGCUCUCAUUGUUUUGUCUGUGGAUAGCUUUGCAACAUACAAAGCUUAAAUUAGUUGGCUUCAACUCCCAGCUUACUUUUGGCCAAAAAAAACCUCCAAACAAGUUUAGAAGGGGUAAGAUGGAAGCACAUUAAAAAAUAUUUCCAUCGUGGUUCUGUAGAGACUGACUUGCAAGACUUUUGUUUGUGUAAUGCUCCUAUAAACAUUAUUUUGAUAUUUGUAGUAAUUUGUGUCAUUUUAGCAGUGCUUUAUCACUGGAGGAUACUGGGCACAGUCCAGUCCUCACAUCAGCCCAAAUUAGCAGAGCCUCAUACUCAAAAACUGUGGCCAUUCAAAGUUGAAAGUGGGAUGAUAAUGUGGUUAAGCUAAAUAAUUGCAGAUACACUGUCAAAUUAAGGAUAAUUUGACUGCAGACUGGACUUAGAGCUUGUAGGAUUUUCAGAUUUCAAGCUCAGGGUUGAAUGCUACCAAAACCUUUGGCCAUGGUUCAAAAGUACUUUGUCCUCAGGUGCUGGAGUUUUUAUCUAGCCAAUUACUGAAUAUUUCUCAGUUAUUAUCAUCAUCCUCUUCAAUUAAAUUAGGAGGCUCUGCUAUAGUAAUAAAAUGAGACCCAUUAUCUCCAGGGUGCACUGAGCACUGCUUUGGUUUCUCUUCUCCACCUGUAAUGUGUAAUAGCUACAGACAGGUUUAAUUAUGAGGCCACAUCUUGUUGUAAACUUGAUAAUUGCUCUGAGCCAGCAUUACCCGAAGAAUGUACAGGAAUAUCCUUUUUAUCAGCAUGACUGCAGAAACCUUUAUUGUCUGGGCAUUGGAAAGAGAAGGUGAUCCUGGAGGGUUUCAAAAACAUCUCCCCUUCUCUGGCUCCCCUCACAGAGCAAUGAACAAAGCUGCAGGUUUUUUUGUUUUUUGAAAGGUGCUCCUGCAAGCGAGGUUUUGAUUUUACAAAAAGCAAGAUAGCAGAGAGGAGGGAUGCAAAUCAGGAUUUUUAAACUUUGUCAGUGCUUCUGCAUGACUAAUUCAGCAUCAAUCAGUUAAGAAGUUAAAAAAAUUCACUAUUCACACAACAAUCUGCACUUUAAGGGAUGAUUGUUUCAGCUGCUUGUUCUCAGCAUCUUCAUAAGGACAAUUUGGAUUUUGUGUGUUCCUUUCUCAGCAUGUCUUUAAGAUAUUUUUCCCCUAAAUAUUUUUAAGACAUUGAAGCACUUAGCUGAACCUUCCCAAAAACUUCUGCCCAAGCAAAGUUUCUUCAUAAUGUUAGAACCAAAUUGAAGGCAAACAGGAAUUUUGUAUAUAGCAAUUGUCACCUCUGCUUCUGAUGGAAAUGCUUACCAAAGUCUAAAUUAUCAGGAUUUUUUUCCCAGAGUAAUAUUUUGGAGAAAAUAAUGGAACAACUUCAUUUUUCUAUCAAAAAUUUUGUGUUUGGAUGGAGUGUGUGAUCAGGAGAAUCCUACUGAUGUUUGUGAGGAACUGAAAAAGCCUGACAAAAAUUCCAGUCCAGCCUAAAUGGAAAAUAUUUAUGGAAGAAAACUCCUUGAGUAUAACUGCACACACAGCAGGGCUCCACUUGACCCAAAACACUCGUACCACAAAUUGCAUUUUUGUGCACUGAAGACACCUGGUGGCUGCAUCCACAGCCAGCUCAGAGAGAAAAAUUGGUUUUUCAGGGAAGUUUUUCCUCUUGUUGAGACUUAAUUACAAUCUUAAGCCAUUCUGUUUUUAUUAUAUCAUUAAGAUACAAAUUAGAUCUUUUUGAUCUCCAAAUGGUAAUUUUUUGUUUUUUGUUUUUUUGACUCAGUCCAUGGAUUUGAGACACUGCAAGAGUCUAGUUUUGCUUUAAAAGCAUGUUUCAAGGGAUAGUAAAUGCUAAAUAAAUAUAAAAUAAGUAUUUGUCAAAGUAAGGAAUGAGAGUCCUAAUCCUAAACUGUAUAAUUAGGAAAGGGAGAUGCAGAAAGAGAUGCCACCUGAUGGGCACUGAUGUGCACUGUAGUAGCUCAGUGAUGUCUUUGCUGAUCCUAACAGACAUCAGGUAUUUAAAAACCUUCAUUCAGUGCAACUGAAUUCGAAGAACUAAAUCAAUUUAAACACAACUAGCACAGUUCUCUGUGGUGGAUAUGAUUAUUUUGGAGGAAGAGGCUCCAAAAUAUGGGGUGAAAUUCAGAUCUGAGGAUUGCUAUAAAUAGAAACUUUUUUUAUCUGAUUCAGCCCCCUCUGUCAUGGCUGCUGCUACUUUACUGAAUGCAAGUGAAAAGAAAAACCCAACCAUAAUCUAUGCAAUGUUCUUUCUGUCCCACCUCAGUUUUGCUUCUGACAAGACCACUGUUCUAUUUCAGGGCUGCAUUUUUCCUGUUUGCAGGAAACCACAGAGUGAGACACAGCGUUCUGAGAAUGGGCUCCAGGAAGUCUGCUGAAAAUUACCUUUUAACACUGCAUGAAGGAGGCUUUAGUGUCUUAAAGGAAUUCCUUUGGAUUGCUAUAUAUAAACUGCUGCGAAACUCUGCUGGGGAAAGGAAGCUGGACAACUGCCUCCACCCUUGGGAGUUAAAGCAUCCUUAUGCCAUUGUACCCGUGGAGAGGGAGGAUUCCUGUACUCCCAGGAGAUGCUUGGCACCUCUCUGAACCCAGAGCAUCUCCAGGAGAUCUAGAGCAGGCAGAGGCCAGUUGUAUUCCAGCACUUUGCAUAGUACUCCCUCAUUUAAUUCAAAACCUUUAUAGAACACUUGUGUCAGGUGAACUAUUUGGCAUCAUCAUUUGGAAUAGCUUAGUAAAUCUAGUUUACUAGAUUUUGGAGAGAGUAACAGUAUUGAAAUUCUUUGAUUUCCCAUUUUGCUUUUUGCUAGUCCAAUAGAUGUGGCCAUGGCACAGAGUAAGAAAUACUGCCCAGGUCUGUAAUUCCAGUAUAAAUUCAAAGUGUAUGUGCCUUCCUACUUGUGCUUACAAGUAAUGAAGAGCCUUUGCAGUAACUGCUUUAAAAACUAUUUUAAUCACUUCACCUCCCUUGACUGAAAGGCUGAUGACAAGGCCAGAGGUGUAAAGGACCUUUGGGGAAAGAUGGAGCAGCCUCUUCUCCUGUGCUCAAUGAAAAAACCUUCCCAACUCCUGAAUUUACUGCCUCUGCCAUCCCCAAUAUAGAUUUAGCUUAGUCCUGCUAGUAGGAAAAAGGCAUUAAUUUUCUCUGCUAAGAACUUGGUCCAGCAUAAGUUUCACUUGACAGCAGCUGCACUGCAAACCACACUCAGUUACUGGUUUGUCUACUCAGCUUUCAAAUAUUGGCACUGAAAUGGAAGGGGGCAUGUGAAACCAAGACAAAGGGACAGUGAUUUUAGAAAAGCAGACAUGGCAAACCUGCAGAACUCCCAGCCUUAUGAGAAUAGUGGAGUUCAGAGGUAGGUACAACAGACUGGCUA